rnacentral:ncRNA from 1 species
UAAAAGGCUAUGAAAAAGACGAGUAAAUAAUCUAUUCUUUAUAGUGAUGAGCUGAUGGCAGUGAAAAAUCAGUAGACCCUGGAUUAUUGAAAAACACUUUUAGCAGCUCACCGAAAUAACAAUUCUUAAAGUAGGUUGAGACGUCUCCGGCACGUUACCACACCGGUGGGGCAUGAUUGUGCUCCAUAAAGAGGUCUAUAUAAUUAGACAAUGUGGGUGGUACCGCGGAAAGAAGCCUUUCGUCCCUGCA